UACGAAGGGAGCUAGCGUUGUUCGGAAUUACUGGGCGUAAAGGGCGCGUAGGCGGCUUCGAUAGUCGGGUGUGAAAUGCCUGGGCUCAACCCAGGAAUUGCACUCGAUACUGCGAGGCUUGAGUGUGGGAGAGGAUGGUGGAAUUCCCAGUGUAGAGGUGAAAUUCGUAGAUAUUGGGAAGAACACCAGCGGCGAAGGCGGCCAUCUGGACCACAACUGACGCUGAGGCGCGAAAGCGUGGGGAG
rnacentral:rRNA from 1 species